UGUCUUUUUCACGCCUUAAAGCACUCGCUUGGUGUUCAGAAUCUAUGGAUGAAUUUUAUAGGAAAUUUGUCCCGCUUUAUUAGUGACAGGAAACCGACACCUUUCCCCCGGGGAUCUUAUCGAUAAUCUUUAGGGGGAGCUUGGACGUACAGUACAGUACGGACGGGGUCGGUUUAUUGGGUACAGUCAGCGCGUCAUUGGACUGCGCGAGACGACGUGUGCGCAUGCGCCAACACGGGUUCAUAGUGCAGCGAGCAGCGCGAAAGCGGUCUCAGUGGAAGCGUCGGCUGAUAUGGCGCUGUUGCCAGUGCUGGUGGUGAGGCGAGAAAUGACCCGUUUAAUGGCAACAUUACCACUCACACAGCUCAGUCAGGGGUGCCUUCUUGCAACAGACGGAAAAUGGCUUCUGUUCUUCUCUCUGUGCGCCGCUACCGAGUCUGCGAGCACGUGAGCAGUAUGGGAGCACGUGCCGAGCGGCGGGAGCGGUACGCGCUCCAUGCGGGUAGGAGGAGCAUCGUAGUUACAGCUGGUAAAAGAAAUGGAGCUGCUGCGGAAGGGAAGGUGACUAUCUUGUCACGGGCGUGUGGUUUUGGAACGGCCUGUGGGAUGGGACACAGGAAGGAGGACUGA
rnacentral:lncRNA from 1 species